CCGAGGUAUAAUCCUAUCGAUCGUAUCUCUUAGUGAUGUGCAGUGUACUCUUCGGUUGUCCAACGUUUGGCUGUCUUUGAGAACUUGAGUCUCACUGUCGGGAAAGCGAGGUUCUCAGAGAGAUUCAGGUGAAUCCAUCUUCCACCUAGAUGAAAUGAAACUUCUGUUCAUUUGGGAUCCUUGGCGGACUUCCAAAUAUUAUCUGUAAGAGUUUCUCUGCAAAUCUUUCAGUCCAGUUCAAGUUCCUGAGAACAACAAUGAUCCUGAUGAUGGAUAGUUUACUGGUGAAGUACUUCAGAAUCGUCUUGCGUGUUGUGUCAAAGUUUACCGGUGAAGUUCUUGCAUGUUGUGUCAAGGUUUACUGGUGAGUUGUUGAUGCAUAUUACCUUGAGAUGGAAAACGAUGAUGAUGAGGUUACCGAAGAUGAUGAUGAGGAUGCAAAGGGAGGAAGAUGAGUAGGAGGACGAGGAUGACGAUGAAAAGAUGAGCAAGGGAAAGAAGAGCA